CAUGCAUGGCUGUGUCGGAUGUGGAGGGUGCAGGCGAGCCCUGCGGAGGAUCGCCUUUCUGCGGGGCCCCGGGGAGAGGUCACCCAGGCUUGCUGCUGUGACGAUGGGAACAACAAUCACGGUGGUAACAGCCUACAAGCUGACCUGUGUUCAGAGCUCACCACCUGCCGAGCCUCAAGACCAGGGCUCAACAUGUGUCACCAGUAUUAACCAACAUGUGGACACACUCCGCUGAGAGGAUCCGUGGUCCAGGCGUGGACAUCUGUGUCUAUAUUAGCACGCUGUAGCAGAGCAGACCCUCAAUAUCACAGAGAAGAAUAAAGCAGAUUUAAAGAGCAAA